ensembl:lncRNA
CGCGGGGCGACCACGGAGCCCGCACCACCCGCUGCCGGAGCCGCCCCGGGGUGACNCGGGCCUCACGGAGCCGCCCGGGCCCCUCGGCCGAGACGGGGACGGCAGCCCAGGCGUGCCUGACGCUUCAGGUCCUCAGCGAGCCCCGGCAGCCGAUACAUCUUUUCCGUGAGACGGGAAGAAACGCAGACCUGUGCAUAAGAGUGGCUGUACAGAAUAAGUACGGUACCAGAUGCUGUGGAAGGCUUGGGGUUUAGGACUAAGUCCGUCAUCGACCAUUGAACUGCAGACAAGUAGACAGACAGCUUGGAAAAUCUUGCAGGCCCAAAGGAUUUUCUUCAUGCCAGAACUUGCCCUGUGCCUCUUUACUAAAGCUGCAAGACUUUACCUGGAGGAGAGAGGCCUUGGAGCUUUUAUUGUGCCUUGCAAGCCCAGAUUACGUCGAUCACGUUGACUGGUCACAGAAACUUGACCCAUGCAAAGAACAUCAGAGGCUUUUUGGGACCCAUGAGACAGCAACACAGCCCCCUACACCAACUAAAGAUCACAUCUUUAGCACAGGAUACUGAUUUUGCUGCUUCAGUAAUAAAGUAUGUCUAAGCAUUAGGACUGUCUGUGGU